AUCGCUUCUAUGCCUUUGGCUAAGAUCAAGUGUAGUAUCUGUUCUUAUCAGUUUAAUAUAUGAUAUGUCCUCUAUUUGAGGACAACAUAUUAACUGGAUUUUUGGAAUAGGGCGUCGAAAUAGGAGCUUUUGUCGUCUGCUUCACAAAUCGACAUGGUAUUGCAGUACCUCCUGGAACGGAAACUAAU